rnacentral:rRNA from 1 species
GAGUUUGAUCAUGGCUCAGAUUGAACGCUGGCGGCAGGCCUAACACAUGCAAGUCGAGGGCAGCACGGGUACUUGUACCUGGUGGCGAGCGGCGGACGGGUGAGUAAUGCCUAGGAAUCUGCCUGGUAGUGGGGGAUAACGCUCGGAAACGGACGCUAAUACCGCAUACGUCCUACGGGAGAAAGCAGGGGACCUUCGGGCCUUGCGCUAUCAGAUGAGCCUAGGUCGGAUUAGCUAGUUGGUGAGGUAAUGGCUCACCAAGGCGACGAUCCGUAACUGGUCUGAGAGGAUGAUCAGUCACACUGGAACUGAGACACGGUCCAGACUCCUACGGGAGGCAGCAGUGGGGAAUAUUGGACAAUGGGCGAAAGCCUGAUCCAGCCAUGCCGCGUGUGUGAAGAAGGUCUUCGGAUUGUAAAGCACUUUAAGUUGGGAGGAAGGGCAGUAAAUUAAUACUUUGCUGUUUUGACGUUACCGACAGAAUAAGCACCGGCUAACUCUGUGCCAGCAGCCGCGGUAAUACAGAGGGUGCAAGCGUUAAUCGGAAUUACUGGGCGUAAAGCGCGCGUAGGUGGUUUGUUAAGUUGGAUGUGAAAUCCCCGGGCUCAACCUGGGAACUGCAUUCAAAACUGACAAGCUAGAGUAUGGUAGAGGGUGGUGGAAUUUCCUGUGUAGCGGUGAAAUGCGUAGAUAUAGGAAGGAACACCAGUGGCGAAGGCGACCACCUGGACUGAUACUGACACUGAGGUGCGAAAGCGUGGGG